GAUUGAGAAGCUUGCUUUUCAUGAGAGUGGCGCACGGGUGCGUAACACGUAUGUAACCUACCUUGAUCUGGGGGAUAGCCUCUCGAAAGAGAGAUUAACACCGCAUAACAUUAUCGGAUAGCAUUUUCUGAUAAUCAAAUAUUUAUAGGAUCAAGAUGGGCAUGCGGAACAUUAGCUAGUUGGUAAGGUAAUGGCUUACCAAGGCUACGAUGUUUAGGGGAUCUGAGAGGAUGGCCCCCCACACUGGUACUGAGACACGGACCAGACUCCUACGGGAGGCAGCAGUAAGGAAUAUUGGUCAAUGGGCGCAAGCCUGAACCAGCCAUGCCGCGUGCAGGAAGACGGCCCUACGGGUUGUAAACUGCUUUUGUACCGGAAUAAACCUUUGUUCGUGAACGAAGCUGAAUGUACGGUAAGGAUAAGGAUCGGCUAACUCCGUGCCAGCAGCCGCGGUAAUACGGAGGAUCCAAGCGUUAUCCGGAUUUAUUGGGUUUAAAGGGUGCGUAGGCGGUUCUUUAAGUCAGGGGUGAAAGACGGUAGCUUAACUAUCGCAGUGCCUUUGAUACUGAAGAACUUGAAUACACUUGAGGUAGGCGGAAUGUGACAAGUAGCGGUGAAAUGCAUAGAUAUGUCACAGAACACCAAUUGCGAAAGCAGCUUACUAAAGUGAGAUUGACGCU
rnacentral:rRNA from 1 species